rnacentral:lncRNA from 1 species
ACAAACACUGUGAYGACAGGAACUCAGCUUGAGACUUGGAGGAAGCUCAGGCCACAUGCAUGCCGCUGUCUGCAAAGCUCUUUUUGACUGUGUUUCCUUUUGCUCCAAAGCUUCUUCCAGUUUGAUCCACAGAAAAGUAUAUAUGUGGCAGAAAAGGACCGGCUCUAUCAGCCAGACACCAGCAGCACCAGGCAUUUCUACUCCACUGCUCACCCAUAUGGUGGGAUUCUGCACCGAGGAGCUAGAACAUCCCCUCAAACACUACCAAGGCCUGGAUGGAGAAUUUGAAGUUAUGGACUAAUAGAUUUGUAACAGUCUGGRCUGACUUUUUAAUAAGUGACCAACAAAUUCAGACAGCCUCAAGAUGACAGAUGGCCUCAUGGGGAAAUGUUUUUAAAACAAACAAAAGAAAACCCUGAGGAAGAGAAGUUAGUCUAAUUAGAGGUAUAUGGAUUCAGGACAACAGAAACAGUGGGGGAAUGGGUUGGUUUAGCCCUAGAAUUUGAGCUCAAAUAUUAYGUUCACUGUAGAGUGCGAAUUUGUUUGUCUGGAGAUCCAGGAGACUCAUCACUGGGUUUCUUGUUUUGUUUUUCAAACGCACUGAUGUUUKGUUGCUGUUGCUACUGGAUUCCUCGAGCGACUAGCACACCCCAUGAACACGAGCACCUCGGCUUUGCAAACCCCAGUGACAGACAGCAAUGUGUGAUUUCAUCCGUGCGUGCAUGCUGUGAGAAACCAGCAACUGCUACUUUGGUUAAAGUUUAGAGGUUGGGUGUUUCGUGUGGGCUGGAAUGCUGUGACUUUAACCCUUUCGCUGUUCUCACCGUGCAUGCCUCGCACCGUGUUUCCUCCGGAAAAAAUGACAGGUUAUGGAACCACCUCUUUGGUGAAAUCUUGCAGCAAGCAGGUUUUGAUCUCAGCAGCAGCUCCAACCUGCACUGUUAGCAUUGACAGAAGGAUGGUUGGGCAUGUGUUACGCGUUGCUCCGAAGAACGAGAGG